GCAUCGGUGGCUCAGUGGUAGAAUGCUCGCCUGCCACGUGGGCGGUCCUGGUUCAAUUCUUGGCCGAUGCA
rfam:Heligmosomoides polygyrus genome assembly, scaffold: HPBE_scaffold0006228